UUUUAAGGCACUGACCUUAUUGCUUAUUCAAGAACAAGUUACCUGAAGUGACUGUCAUGUUCUUCAGAUUAGAAUAAUAAAUGCAUAUUAUUUUGGGCUACUAUGAAAUCCACUUAGAAUGCCUUUUAAGUAGAUGAAUGCUUUACUCUUAAAUAGAUGGCUUUUUCCACUGUAAGAGCUUCAUCUAUCUGAUUAUUUUAGUUGUAGAAUCCAUUGCCUACUAUACAAUCCUCUGAUUAACAGUUCUAUGAAAAAUAUAUUUUGUGCAAUUAUACUUUUGACAAAAUGGCUUAUUGGCUCAUGAGGGUCAUCAUCUGCUUCUAAACAGGAUUUUUUUCAAGAGUUGAGAAAUGUCAUAUGCCAGAUAACCAAAUAGACAUCUCCUCAUUCAUUUCAUUUUGAAGAAUUGGAAUAUCACUUUAUGGUCUGUACUUCUAUCCUACAUGCAUAGUGUUUGAUAAGACUCACUUCAAAGAUUUAAUAGUGUUCAGAAACUUCCAAAUAAAUUCUAGUUAACUAGCUCAAACUAGGCUGCAAGUGUAACAGAGCAGGGCCAGAUCUACUUACUUACUAUAUAUGCAACAUUUAGGAUAGAGUCUAGCACAUCACAGGAUAUCAGGAAAGGCAUUUGGUUUGCAAAAAAUUAUUUACUUGUGAUUGUAAAAGGCAAAACUGCAGUGCAACAAGAAUCUAAGAAUACGGGAUAGAUACUUUGGUAAGUGGGAUGUUGGGAAGUUAGUCAGCUAAAAAAAAAAAAAAAAAGUCCAGGGAAUUGUUACAUGCUGAGAGAAAUGCCUGUUGGAAGGCUUGAAAAUGGGCAAGCCACUGGUACUUGAGAAGGAAUUAAAAUAAAUCCAGCAUGUCUGAAGCAGACUAAGCAAAAAGAGAAAGAGGCAGGGACUGAGGUUGAGGCAGGGGUGAGAUCACAGAAGUUGAGGCAGGGGUGAGAUCACAGAAGUCAUAAAACAUCCUAAAGAGAUACAUUAUCCUAAAGCAAUAGGAAGUCAAUUGAAGGUUUAGGCAAGGGAAUGACAUCAUCCAUAUAAAUAUAUAAACAUAAUGAGGGCUGUUCAAAAGGACAUUUACAAGAGUAAUUAUCAAUGUAUUGUAUACCAGUGGGUCAUUUACCUUCUUCAAGUCUUUACCCAAAUGCCCUUUGUCCACGAACUUUCCACUUUUGACCACCCUAAGAUUACAUGACCAUUCAUCCCAUACCAGUUCCCAGAUCUUGCUUACUCAUCUUUUUUCCUGUAGCACUGGAACCUUUUAACAUUUUAGACAAUUUAUUUACUUAUUAGUUUAUUGCCUGUCUUCUCUUACUAGAGUAUAAGAUCCACAAUGAUUUUUUUUUUCCCUAGGAAGUACUUGGCAGAUGAGCUUUCAACAAAUAUUUGUUGACUUAAAGCACAUCACAUUAUUAUUUAAAGCUAUGUUGUAAGAUGGUUUAUCUAUCAGUGUUUAUGACUGAACACACUCGGUUUAAAAACACAGUUUCCAAAAAAAAAAAAAAGAAAAAAUAAAAAAAAAAAUAAAAA
rnacentral:lncRNA from 1 species